ncrna:unclassified sequences S4-Fusobacteriales ribosomal protein leader
CUGUAAAGACAUGGUGAGUCGUAGGACCAUCUCCAUAAUUGCAGAAUGGGACAUGUCUCGAUGAA